rnacentral:rRNA from 1 species
CAAUAGCGUAUAUUUAAGUUGCUGCAGUUAAAAAGCUCGUAGUUGGGUUUCGGGUGGGAAUGGCCGGUCCGCCGUUUCGGUGUGCACUUGCUACGCCCACCUUGCUGCCGGGGACGUGCUCUUGAGUUCACGCUCGGGACACGGAGUCGGCGAGGUUACUUUGAGUAAAUUAGAGUGUUCAAAGCAGGCCUACGCUCUGAACACAUUAGCAUGGAAUAACACGAUAGGACUCUGGCCUAUCUUGUUGGUCUGUAGGACCGGAGUAAUGAUUAAGAGGGACAGUCGGGGGCAUUCGUAUUUCAUUGUCAGAGGUGAAAUUCUUGGAUUUAUGAAAGACGAACUACUGCGAAAGCAUUUGCCAAGGAUGUUUUCAUUAA